GACGAACGCUGGCGGCGUGCUUAACACAUGCAAGUCGAACGGAAAGGCCCUGCUUUUGUGGGGUGCUCGAGUGGCGAACGGGUGAGUAACACGUGAGUAACCUGCCCUUGACUUUGGGAUAAAUUCAGGAAACUGGGGCUAAUACCCGGUAUGAGCUCUUGCAGCAUGGGGGGGGUUGGAAAGUUUCGGCCGUGUGGGCUGGACUCGCGGCUUAUGAGCUGCUUGGGGGAGUAGUGGCUGUCAAAGUCUUUGACGGGUAGGCCGCCUGGGAGGGUGGCCGGCCUCCUUGCGCCUACGAUACGGACCAGACUCCUACGGGCCGCAGCAGUGGAGAAUAUUGCGCAAUGGGCCGACGCCUGAUGCAGAAACGCCGCGUGCGGGAUGCCGGCCUUCGGGUUGUAAACCACUUUCGCAUGUGCCGAGGCGUGAGUGACGGUACUGGGUAAAAAAGCACCGGCUAACUACGUG
rnacentral:rRNA from 1 species